AAGUUAUUCUAGACUCAACAGCUCUGCAUUGAGGAUUAUUACUGAAUCACAACUAAUCAACGCUGGAUAAACGUUACAUAAAAGUAUACACAUGAAAACUUGGGUGCAAAAGAAGGUUAUUUAUUGAUAGCAGGCGAGAAAGUGACCAGCUACAUAAAACGUGAGGAAUAAAGCCCCGAGAAGAAGAGGAAGAGGUUAUAAAACUACAAAAGGAAUACGUCUUGGGAAUACAUUUUACCAUUGACCAUUUAGAGGAUUUUUUACCAGGCGCCUUUUUUACGCCAGUCGUAAAACAAGCUUCUUAGAUAGAUAUAUAUUUAUAAAGGUCAAAAGUA